rnacentral:rRNA from 1 species
AGCCGUUUGUAAGCACACCUCUAAAAGAAUAAGUAUGCCUCUAUGAAUAACUAACUCAUAUACAUCAGGUCAAAGUGCAGCCAAUAAGAAGGUGAUGAUGGGUUACAACCCUAAAAUAGACUAUCAAUAAAGAAAUAAAAAAUCUUAAGAAAGUGGACUUGGCUGUAAUCAAUUUAUAAGCUAAAGAAAUGAAAUAAAAUCUAAGACAUGUACACAUCGCCCGUCACUCUAUCCUAAAGGUUAGAUAAGUCGUAACAAAGUAGGUGUAAUGGAAAUUGUACCUGUCGGAGCAUAGCAUAUAUAAUGCUUUUUACUUACACUAAAAAUAAAGUUUAAUAACUUGCUUCGCCCGCUUAGAACAACCUUACAGAUCAAAUAUAAUAAAAACAAUUAAAAUAAUUAAAAGAAUAAGUACAGAAAUGGAAAUUAAAACAAAUAAAAGUAAGUUUUAACAAUUAUACCUUGUGCAUUAUGGUUUUACAAGAAAACAAUUAAUAUAUAAAUCCCGAAUUCUAUAUGAGAUGUUAUACUGCUGUUAAGAACCCAUUAGUAACUGUAGAACAAGGUUUAAAAGACAGAAUAACAGAGGCUACAUACCACCCGCAUAAGAAAAUAGCUGGUUUUCAACAAACAUUAUACAUUAAAACAUAUAAUUAUAUUAUAGUGUAACAUCAUUGAGGACAAGCCCAAUAAUUUAAACAAUACUCAAAUAUAUCUAUUAAAUACUAUAGGCCUAAAACCAGCCACCAAAAAUACUUUACCGUAAUAAAUACUGAUAUAAUUCAUAUACUAACAUGUUAAAAUAAAGUUGAAAUGGUGGGCUAACUACCAAGCCCGCCCCUAUUAUGUAAAAAUAAGUAUUAUAAUAAUAUAAAUCACUAACACUAAAAAUAAACAACAAAUAAGAUAACCAUAAUUAAUUAAGGAACUCGGCAAACCACUAUUUCGACUGUUUAACAAAAACAUUGUCUCAUGAAUAAAAUAUGAGAUAGUACCUGCCCA